GAAUUGACGGGGGCCCGCACAAGCGGUGGAGCAUGUGGUUCAAUUCGACGCAACGCGAAGAACCUUACCCAGGCUCGAACGGCAACUGACAUCCGACGAAAGUCGGCUCCCGCAAGGGCAGUUGUCGAGGUGCUGCAUGGCUGUCGUCAGCUCGUGUCGUGAGAUGUUGGGUUAAGUCCCGCAACGAGCGCAU
rnacentral:rRNA from 1 species